AGAGSCGUKYRAGCGUUAAUCGGAAUUACUGGGCGUAAAGGGUGCGUASGCGGUUUAAUGAGUGUGAUGUGAAAGCCCCGGGCUUAACCUGGGAAGUGCAUUGCAAACGAUUAGACUGGAGUAUUGGAGAGGGUGGCGGAAUUUCCGGUGUAGCGGUGAAAUGCGUAGAGAUCGGAAGGAACGUCGAUGGCGAAGGCAGCCACCUGGCCAAAUACUGACGCUGAGGCACGAAAGCGUGGGGAGCGAACAGGAUUAGAUACCCUGGUAGUCCACGCUGUAAACGAUGAAGACUAGAUGUUGGAGGGGAGACCUUUUAGUAUCGAAGCUAACGCGAUAAGUCUUCCGCCUGGGAAGUACGGCCGSAAGGUUG
rnacentral:rRNA from 1 species